rnacentral:rRNA from 1 species
GACGAACGCUGGCGGCGUGCUUAACACAUGCAAGUCGAACGAUGAAGCCGGAGCUUGCUCUGGUGAAUUAGUGGCGAACGGGUGAGUAACACGUGAGUAACCUGCCCUUGACUCUGGGAUAACUGCUAGAAAUGGUAGCUAAUACCGGAUACGACCCUCGGAGGCAUCUCCCGGGGGUGGAAAGAAUUUCGGUCAAGGAUGGACUCGCGGCCUAUCAGUCAGUUGGUGAGGUAACGGCUCACCAAGGCGACGACGGGGAGCCGGCCUGAGAGGGUGACCGGCCACACUGGGACUGAGACACGGCCCAGACUCCUACGGGAGGCAGCAGUGGGGAAUAUUGCACAAUGGGAGAAAGCCUGAUGCAGCAACGCCGCGUGGGGGAUGACGGCCUUCGGGUUGUAAACCUCUUUUAGUAGGGAAGAAGCGAAAGUGACGGUACCUGCAGAAAAAGCACCGGCUAACUACGUGCCAGCAGCCGCCGUAA